AGUCUAUGAUGAUUCUAUCCCGAACCUGAAUUCCUGUUGAAAAAGCACAAUUAUGGAUGCAUCUUCUGAGAC